AAGAAAAUCUAUCACUAUUCAGUCCCCACCAAUUAUAUCUUAGAUUCACAAUCCUUUCCCUUUACUCAUUUCUCUAAUGAUUUUUUGCUUCAAUUCUAAGCAUUACUUAAUUGUCAGUGACUGAGAAUACACAGAGAGGAGGGACAUAGAUAAGUUGCAGAGUUAGUACUAGAAAACAGAGCUGGAGAAAUGCAGAGUCCUGGUGGUAGUAGUAGUAGUAGAAGUAGAAGAAGUACUACUACAACUGCAGCAAAAAAUGGUGUAAUUGCAGGUUCAGUCUGGGAGAACAGAAUGAAGGUUGAUGAAGUUAAAGGUGGAAUUAAGGUCUUUAAUGGUGGUGAUCAGAACAAUGCUGUCGGUGGUGGUGGCGGCACUGAUCAUUCCGGAAACCAAAUUCAAGUUUACAGAAGAAGAUUACCAAGAAUUCAGAGCAGUAAUGGUAAUGGUGGUGGUGGAGAGAUUGGAAAGAGUAAAAGACUGUUGAAACCAGACACUAUCGAUGGGAAUGAUCAGAAAAAUCCAAUUCAAUUAAGGAAAUCUAAAUCUGAUAAUAUUGAGAAGACCCCAAUUCCAGUAAUCAAGAAAACUAGAUCUCACGGAGAACAGAGAAAUUCAAGUGCAAUUAAAGAUAGGGAGAUCAUCUUGAAUAAUGGAAGUCAGAGUGCAAACCAAAAGAAGAAUGUCAUUGACUAUGACUGUGAUGAUGAAGAAGAAGAAGAAGAAGGAAGUAAUUUGAAUGAUGAAGAAACUGAAAAUGAAGAAAUUGAUGUUAAAGAAGUAAAUAUUGAUCAAGAACAACUGAGACUCAAUGUGAUGAUAAAAAAUGAAGAAGACAGCAAGACUCAAAUGAGCAAAGAAUUAGUAGUUGUACCUUCAAAUUUGCUGGUUGGAAAUCUCAAAAACUCACCUUCAAAGUCUGAAAAAGUUGUAAUUUGCCAAGACGAGAAGAAAUUGAAUGAGAUCCAGAAAGCACCAAUACCCAUUUCUUCUGGGGUUAGCAAAAGACCACCACCACCACCACAACCAGUAAAGAAGUAUACUGAAACUCAUCCAAAAAUUCCUCCAACAGGUUCAUAUGAAUUUCAGAGAUGCCCAGGUUCCCAAAACAAAUUACAAAAUCUUGUGGAUUUAGUGAUGUGGAGAGAUGUAUCAAAGUCAGCACUUGUCUUUGGAUUUGGAGCAUUUCUUAUUCUUUCUUCAUCUUUCACCAAAGAUCUUAAUUUCAGUUUGAUUUCUGCGAUUUCUUACCUGGGUCUUCUCUACCUAGCAACAAGAUUUCUCUACACAUCAAUUAUUUGCAGAGGGGCUGCACAUCCCGAAGUGGAAUCAAAUGAGACAUUACUGGUAGGAGAAGAUGAAGCAGUUUGGUUAUUGAGAUUGAUUCUACCAUACUUGAAUGAGUUUCUACUGAAACUCAAAAGUCUUUUUUCUGGAGACCCUGCAACUACAAUGAAGCUAGGAGUGCUUCUGUUUAUUCUGGCUCGCUGUGGGAGCUCCAUCACUAUCUGUAAGGGUUUUUUGGAAUUUUUACAGUACCAAAAGUUUGCUCAUCAUAUUCUACUCAGUUAACUGGAUACGGUAAAUUUUGGAUCAGACGGUUUCAAGAUGCAUGGGACUCGUGUACUCACAAAAAAGCUGUAGCUCUUGCCGGUUUUACUCUAGUGUGGAAUUUAUCUUCGAUUGUAGCUCGCAUUUGGGCAGUAUUCAUGUUAAUUGUAGCGGUUCGAUUUUAUCAACAAUCCCUAGUACUACUAAAUGAACGAUGGGAAGAAGAAGAAAUGGUAGCAUUAGAUGGAGACGAUUCUAAUGAGAGACAUGAUUGUGUGACCACGACGACCUCUAUAAAACAAGUUGUAUUAGAAGAAGGAAAAAAAAGAUGGGUGAAGUAGGAAAAAUUAUGUGGUGUCUGCAAUUUGGUGUGAAGAAAUAAGUGAUACCUCUCUCUACCUGUUUUUGUAUAGUGCAUGUAUUAGCUCUACUUUUUCAGUUACUCAAUAAUACAACAAUGUCCCAGGAAUCCGACUCUUAACAUUCCGAUGUGAACUGCAAGCAGGCCAACAAUCAAACUAUGAAUUUGUACCCAAUGGAAAUGGUAAAGACUGCAAUUUGUGAAA